GUCGAGCCUGCCCACUGAUAAAUUGAAGGGCCGCGGUAUUUUGACCGUGCAAAGGUAGCAUAAUCAUUAGUCUUUUAAUUGAGGGCUUGUAUGAAUGGUUUGACGAGAUGUUAGCUGUCUCAUUAUAAUAAAUAUAAUUUAACUUUUGAGUGAAAAGGCUUAAAUAUAAUUGGAGGACGAGAAGACCCUAUAGAGCUUUAUAUAUUUAUAUAAUAAUUUUAUAUUUAGUAGUUUUGAUUGUUGUUAUAAAAUAUAUUGUGUUGGGGUGACAUAAAGAUAAAAUUAACUCUUUGUAUAUUUAACAUUAAUUUAUGAAUUAUUGAUCCAGUAUUAUUGAUUAAAAGAAAAAGUUACCUUAGGGAUAACAGCGUAAUUUUUUUUGAGAGUUCUUAUCAAUAAAAAAGAUUGCGACCUCGAUGUUGGAUUAAGGAAAAUUAUUAGGUGAAGUAGUUUAAUUAAUAGGUCUGUUCGACCUUUAAAUCCUUACGUGAUCUGAGUUCAGACCGGA
rnacentral:rRNA from 1 species